rnacentral:lncRNA from 1 species
CAAAGCAGCUUUCUAAUCAGCUGUGUCAAGCGAGCGUCUCGUCUAUACGAGGGUUUCCUUGUUUAGAUUUCCUGGAGAAAAAGCCGAUGCAAACGACCGUAAUGAUCCCUACGAGGUUAGCAGCAGUAUAUAGGAGCCUUUAGGUCCAGGCGAGUUCCGCAGUUGCCCUGUCUAUGUAAACCCUUCUUCAGAGCCUGCACCCCCAUCUACUCAAAGGAAAGAAAAGCAGUUAUAUAAGUCAAGUCAGUAAGAUAAGGAAAGCGCGCAGCCUUCCGCCUCUAAGUCUACACCCUUUAUACCUUCCUUAGGUUUCCGUUUUCGUUUCAGUGUGGGGCGAGUUUCUUUCGAUGCAGUUCUAGGAUUACUCUAAUCGGCAGCUUUGGAAUAAUACGCUUCACCCAUAUAUUGGAAUAAUACGCUUCACCUAUAUAGAAUGGAGGGACUAUGCUUUCUGCCCCUAUGGAAUAUGCUUGAUUCUCUUACCCUAUCUAACUUCUUCUUAAUAGUUGGAAUAAGGUGAGUGCUGGCCCAGUCUUCUCUAAUCUCCUUAUCGAGCUACCGAUCUUACAGCGCUUUAUUGACUAUAAUCCCUUCGAUCUCAAGGCUAGGUAAAUUAUUAAGGUUCAUUUUCAAGCAGAAGUAUGGAAAUGGGGCAAGCAAAUAAGCAAGCGGUGGGAUCUUUCAGACAAGGUAAAGGUCUAGAGCAGGCCAGAAGGCGGGACUAUUUCUUUUUCUUUCCUCAAAGGAGAAAGGGCUAGAUUCAUUUGAAGCCGGUUCACAGGUCCAUCCAAUUUCCUUAAAAGCUAGUCAGUGAGAAAGGGAAUAAACAUGGUGAAGCGAAGAGGGUUAGAAUGAAUACUAUACUUCUCCUAGGCGGGUUUCAUGAUGGAUGACUCCGGGGCUUAGAUUGCUCACAGGAUCAAAGCACUUUCUUGAUCACUGUCUUGCUCACUUAACCUUAUUUCUAACACUUACACAAAGGCUUGACAAGGUAUGGAAGAGAUAGAGGAGAGAAAACGGAACUAAGGGAUAUAGAAUGACAGGCAGUAGAAUGACAGGCGGAACGAAUCCAAGGGCUAGUCUCAAACUCUGAUAAGCCCAGGUGAGAAACUCCCUCUUACUACUGUAUGUUCAUAAAUCCUAGGCAAAAGCCCCUGUCUCUGUAACAACCAAUAGUCAAUUGAGCCACGGGAAUAAGCUUGAGUACGGAACUUAGAGCUACGAGAAUAAGCUUGAGUAAAGCUGUACUGUGAACUUAGCUACGGGAAUAAGCUUGAGUAAAGCUGUACUAAACUUAGCUACGGGCUUCUCCCUUACUUCUUCUUAUAUGGGAGCUUGCAUUGAUGCCAUCUUUAUUAGCGCCGGAUCUCUGGGCCGUAAUACUUUGAUAAUAGCCCUUCUUCCUUGCUUUCAACUAAGAUAAUAGCCCUUCUUCCUUGCUUUCAAAAAGGGGGAAGUUCUCUGCGCGUUCAUUCUCUUUCAUGUCGGAAAUCCUCUUUGAUUCUAAAGAUAGACAUUUCCAUAAAAGGCAUUUCGUCAGUCAUAUGAUUGUGAAACUUCUAAAAUAGGAGCUUAUUUGAGAACAGCUGAUUAUAAUGUCAAAAGGAACCUCCUUUUCUGAAAACAAACCGGGCAUACCUCUAAACUUACCUUCCCGCUUCAUCUCUUGAUUCUUAUCCAGCUGUAGAUCUCGUUGUUGCCAAGACAGAUGAAACUCAUUCACUUGCGCCAACAAAGCUAGAUGAACCUUCCACUUAUUAUUCUAUCGAUAAAGCUUCUUCUCGAGCUACUGGGCUACAAACUGCGCAUUCAGAGACUUAAACACUGACACUUAUACUUUACUGGGACUUUUCAUUCUCUAACCACUGCAUCGGUUCUCUGCUUUACUGACUUUUAGUCUGACUUGACUUUCUCUUGGCCUGGUCUGCCGCUUCCCGAUUCGGAUUCUAUUUUUAGGGGUACCUGGCUCAUAACUGAACUAACCAGUAUAAGUAUGAGAAUGAAGAGCUGACCCUCCACGCCUAUGUUCACCUUUCGCUCUGCCUAUCCUGUCUUAAAGCCUAUCGUUCCUGUCUCUCGUUCUGCUACCACGUCUAUGAAGCCUAUCUCUACUAGCUAUGAAACGAAAACUCUAGUUUCUCACUCCUUAGAGCUACAGCUUUGGAUCCACCAAACAACUACGAUGAAAAGAAAUUCAAAGAAAAGGGAAUUAACUAACCAAUAAGGGGAAUGGAGUGACUGACUAUAAGAGUAAAACAAAGAAAUAGGACUUAUCCUACCGGGCUGACUAUCCAUACUUGGAUUCUGGAAUUACAAAUAAGGGUCCUCGCUCUACAGCCUAAGAACCUUGCUCCACUGGCUUUGAUUCUUCUACUAAUACUCAGGUCUAUGAGCCUUGCUUUACUGCUUUGAAACCUAUAUCUCUUUGCUUGAAACCCACCUCUCCGCCUACCUCAUCCGUAUAUCUCUUCUAGCUAUCAAACAACUAACCCUUACUUUGAGUCUGAAUUACCUGUCAAAGAUUCAUAUUCCUCUAUUCCUAACUCCCUCCUAAGGAAGGGCAACGGGAUCCAACCCAAAAGUCAGAGAAUGGAACCAUCACGGGAAAGAAUAGAACCCGGGCGCCUAAGUCUCCCCCUCCUUGGUUGAAACCUAAGACUUAUUACUUUUCUUAUUUCACUCUGGUGAUCCAUUAUUUCACUGGUGAUCCGGGUCUUGGCCUUAUUGGCUGUAAGGCGGACUUGACUACCUUUGUUUUCAUUCUACUACUCUAUACUUGAGAACUUGCUUCCACAGAUAAGUAUACCGAUCCCCUAGAGCAAAGCCUGUCCGGACUCUAUCCUAAACUUAUACUGCUACCAAUAAGACUUGAGCUAAGAAGUGGGAAUCCGACCCAUCAGUCUGGGAAUUGAAACUCCUAAGUAGAAUCAAACUCAUAAGAAUAAUAAUUAGGGUACGCAUCUAGGAUAAGAGGAAGAGAAAAAACUCAGACUGAAGAGAAUCAAACUAAGCAGUAUAAGCAUCAAACUGGUAGAGCCUUGCACCCGAGAGCCCACACUCUUUCUCUUGAACCAGAUCCUUCCCUUGCUUUACUGACAUCAAAGCUGCCCUGACUUUCUUGGCCUGUCAUACUUGGGGGUAUUGAUCGAUACUCACUUGCCCCGGGCUAGCUCUGAAACUACCAACCAUUAGACUUUGACUGCAGUUUCUAAUACUUAAUUAACUUGCCGGAAAGAGUGGAGCUGCUGACAAACAGACUCGAACUACGGAUUCGGAUACUGACUUGCCACGAGCUAACUCCUCCGCGACUAACUAGUAGAAUGGAACCUUGAGCCAAUAUGACUUGAGCUACUGGAAAACAGGCUUACUUUACUGCAAUCAAUACCCUAACUAACAACGGGGAAUGCUGCUAUUACUAUCGGAAUUGAACCCAUGCUAGAAAGGGCCAAGUAGGCAAGGAAGCUCUUGUUCUUUUCCGUAGUCAACUAAUUACAUUCCAUUCCAGGAGUUCUAUUCCCCCAGCUUCCUCACCUCAUAGCUCAAUUCUUAUGAGUCAUAACCUUACUUGAUCACUGGAACAGGGCAUAGCAGCUUUCACACACUCCCCGCUCGGACCUUAUCCAAUCCUAGCUACCAAUCGCCCCUGCCGCUGAGAUUAGGACUUGCUCAUAAUGCAUUAGAACCAUUUAUGACUUGUUAUGUGUUUGGGGCAUCCACUUACGAAUUAACUCGGGAAAACAUAAUUGGUUAAAGCCUUAUUGCCUCCUGGCUAGCUACCUCUGGCAACUAGAAUACCUGGCUCAUUACAGCUGCUGGGAACUAACAUACCUGGCUCAUUCUUCUGGUUCAAACUAUGUUGCUUGGCCCUUUCCGCUUCUCCUAUUUCGGAGUAUAUCGGUAAAGAUCCUCCUCUAAUACGAAUGUGUAAUCGCUGUAUCUUAUGGAGAGGGAAAGAUUGAGCUGUAUCUUAGAAUAGAACAACCAACCAGAACAGCACCGGAAGGGCCAUCUCCCUAGCAACUAUUGAAAGGCCUUCAGAACAUCCUCAUCAUAACACUUUCCGUUAUUUAAUAAGGUACCGAAGCAUUUAUUUGGUAGAAGGAAGCUUCGAUAAAGAUUAUGUAUUUCGCUUUAGCAGCUAGGAGUUGUUUUCGAAACCAAGCCAUACCCUACCUAUCCAUGAAAGAAAGACUACAUAGACUAAUGGGCAGCUUCGAAAGCAUCAACUACUGGAAAGAUUGCAACGAGGUAAACUAAACUAACGGAAAGGGUACAUGCCUCUUACUAGAAAAUCCAGUCAAGGCUCCGGGGAUAGUCCGAUACCUCAACAAAAUGGGAAUGAUUAAUGGAAAGUAACGUGGGAAGACUUGGAUUUCUUAACUCAAAAAGGCAAAGGAAUUCCUCCACUAAUCGAUACGGAAAUGCUUCCACACCCACAAUCGAUACAAUACUGACAAGACUCAAAAGAGAUAAGGAGUCAACUGCUGCCCUUAUUUAUAGGCUUAAAGGAAGGCUGGAAGCUACGCUCCGCGGUGUAGGCUUCAUAACUGUUGCAGCGGCUUAUGAUUGGAAUAGGAUCUUUGAGCGAGCAACGUCCGAUUCUCCAGAAAAGACGGACUGCCACGAAGGCACUUACAAGAAGAAAGAGGCCUUAGAUCGCCCCUGCACCAUCAAUUAUGAGGAACCGCCCAUCAAUCAAGGAAGAAAUCCAGAAAGAAGUAAGCUUACGGGGCUAGUACUUUUUCUAAGUCGCCUAGUAAAGGAUAAAGGCAAUUCGCCUUAACAAAAGCAAUAAAGGGGAAGAGUCAAACAAAGGAAGUCCCAUUCCCUCCUUCUUCUUGCUAAUCGAUGAUAGAUAGGAGAUCAGGUUAGCCCUACCUUUUUGGAUCCCUAACCCUAAUCCAGUCUCUUAGUAGUAGGCCGGGAAAGUCAAGAAGUAGGCAUCGUACCAAUGGGAUUGAGACUGCGCUCUUUACCUUUCUCGGUUCGGGUGCAUGCACAUAUACGCUCUCUCAAAGCAUUUCUUUCUUCCUAUAGAAACACAAGUAGCAGAAAUCUCCCUAUGGUUUUAUGGAAUUCCAGAAAGCACUUUGCAACCCUCGAUCCAUUACUAAAAACCAUAUAUUACUAAAAACCAUAUACUAACCUUAUUCCAAUCAAAAGUGAUUCUUUUGUGAAACUCGUUGGCUCUUUUCGUAUAAGUUUCGAAAAAGAAGUUCUCCUAUUCGCUGCCGGAUUGAAAUGGGGAAGGGCCCAUGCUUUGAUUUUUCGAUGAGAAAUCCAUUCCAUUCUCUGCAUACUGCAAUAGAUUCCUUCCUGAAAGCUUUGGUAAGUGGAUGUAUAAUGAAUUCAUUCCUGUUUCCUUCAAGAGCAAUCAUAAGACUCUUCAUAUCAUGGCCUUUAGGAAAAGAGUCCGUCCCCGAUCUCAUUUGUGGAUAAAAGAAUAGACCCUCGUCAUUAGGGCUAGAGUUCAGUAAAGCUAUGCUCAUCUUUAUUCCGGCUCAUAUGUUGAAGCGUAGACAAGUCUUUCUCAAGGCUUAAACAUACUUGCUUGCUUGUCGCGAAGUCUGUUGGUUCUACGCCAGAAACCCAUUUGGAUUUCUUUGCAUACACUCGAUCAGUAGGCCCGCACCGUGGCGUGGUCUAUGUCUACUAAUCCAAAUUACCCCUUGAGUCUCGCCAUUUGCUUUUAUAUAGGAAGGUAUCCAAGACCUAGUACAAGCUAUCCAUCCUAUUUCAAUAAAUUGACAACAUCCUGGGAUGGAUUAGUUUUGACCCUUGCUCGUAUUCACCGUUUCAAACAACUGAGCAAGAGGGAUGUCGGCGGGGACCGCCCUUCUUUUUCCGCCUUACCCACCAUGUUCACUAUUACAUCGGAUACAUCGGAAACCUUCCAAUCAGAAGAAAAACUUCCUCUUUGGCUUUGAAGCUACAGCUACCACUUGGAAUCAAAAGCGGAAACAACGCGACGUUGCUAUUAGCUUAUUUAUUGACUUCACUUGAGGCAUAGGCGGGAUAGGGCUUUGCUUUAGCAUAGGGCUCACAAAUGCGACUGGUUCAGGUCAACUAUGAUGGUGGAUACAGGUAAAUGUGCAAAUUGCUAGGCACUAGGUAUACCCUAUGACAUUUCAUUGGCUUUUGAUAUGCAUAGCUAUCUCUCGUUGUGAGUCUCGGUCGGCUUCAGGCUCUCUCUCUUUUCUACUUUGACUCCCAGCCGUGUUCCAGGCGCCUGGAUUCCUCCGUCAGGUAGGCUUUCCGCAUUCUUCAAUAUUGCGAGGGUCUUCCCUAGUUUCCUUCGAUUUAUAAGCUUGGUCUUUGUCAUAACGGAAUCUCGGGUCUGGAGAACGAGGCAGACAACGACCUGAAAGAAAAUAGUAUCCAAUUCAAAAGAUGAUCUUGUAGGCAAGGAUACAGAUCCAAAUCCCUGUGGGGCAGAUUGAUUCUGGAAAUAUAUUGAACCAGCACAAGGUAUACAAUUCAUAACUAACACACACUAAAUAAUGUAUAUUCUACCCCCUGGCAAUUAAUGGAAUUGACUGGCCCCCCACUGGACAAGUAAAGGAGGGACAUUUGACUCCCUAGGCGUCGAAGACAUCUCAGUAAAGUACGAAUUAGCGGGGCCAAGCCUCAUCACUCAAACGAAACUAUUGGAGAAUGGAGUUACGGCCGGUGUCCAAUGCAGGGAACCAUUCCUAGCCCGGUAGAGGCAGGGCUUUCAUAGCGUUGUUCGACCGACCACGAAAGCAAGAGUCAAGAGUCGGCAAAAGUUCACCACAGAAAACAUAGUUCAAAUAGCAAGCAAACCAGAGAAAGCAUUUGAGAGUUAUUGCCUCUAUGAAAGUGAAGAAGAAAUGCACUCGAUUCCUAUUCUUUUGAAACCUCAGCUCGGGUCACGGAACUCUCUGCUCUUGGCUACGAAACUAGGCUUUGAUCUGAAUCGAUAAAGAAAUGGUUUAAUGGGUUAGUCAAUGUCGGCCUAUGCAAUGGUACACGAGUACCGAUAGUUCGAAAGACAGAACUCUUUUAUCUAAACAUAUAUAAGCGGCCUCCCUCUUAUAUACGAUACCACAGCUGCCGCUUCCUUUGCAAUUGGGGUGGGGAUCCUUGGAAGAUUGAUUCCACCAUACCAGAAAACGAAACUGCUUCCACUUGAGCCAUUCUACUUUGAACAGAAACCAUUCGUUCAGAGUCGAGAAGAGUUAUCAUCUUAUCUGUAAGAAACAGCAGGAGAUAAGAAAGAGAACAAACAGGAUUCUUUCCAAGUUCAAAGAGACAGAUCACUCCUAGCUUGGGCCGACAAGACAUCCAAUCCAAAGAAAUCGAGAGAGACUAAUUGAAACUUUAUUGAACUCAAAGAAGAAAGAAAGAAAGACCCUAGCUAGAUGACCAAAGAAAUCCCAUGAAAUCGACUCCUAAUGCCCAACCCACCAAGACCGCUUAUGUAAACCUAAACUAAGUAAAGGCUUUUGAUUGAAGAAAUGCCUUAGCUAAUAAAGAAGGGGGAGGCAUCUUGAUUCGGCUUAUUCCACUGCUGCCGGCAAUCUUAGAAUGAAUGGGAUCCUUCCGCUUCCGUUCCUUAGCGACGUAACCCGAUCUCCAGACGACUGUAAGAUCCGCUAUCGCUUCGCCUGCUCUAUUUCUCAUCGUAUUCUUUAGAGUAUUAAGUAUUGCUUGCCUUCCCUUACUUCUUAUCUUAGUAAUCCAAAUAAGGGGUCGGAUAGUCGGUUGCUGCCUUACCGUUGUUAGGUUCGAAUCGGGUAGCUGAGCUCUCUUCUGAUUAUAUGAAGUCAGUAGCGGGUUUAUAUAAUUGCUUAACUGUGUGUGUAAUGUCGACGCCCUAAUACCCCAAAAGAAGAAACAGGUCAAUGCAAUGGGAUAGGAAGAAAGGGAGCGAAGUGACUACUGCAUAAACAGCCUAUUGGACAAGACAAGGAAGAAGGAUCAGGGGGAUUCCAAAUGCAAAGCCAAACGCCGCCCGAUGCCGGUGAGUCAGGUAGGGUCGAGUAAAUUCAUUCAACAAUUCCAUGAGCGGGAGCGGACCUUUCUUUAAGGGAAGGCUAAUAUCUAGGCUAAUAUUAUUGAACCUGAACCCUAUAGCAAUCAACGCACCUUUGGUUUUGUCAACACUGAGAAGCGAAGAGAAGUUUGGCACAGAAAAAGCCAUGCUCUGCUAAAGGGAAUCGGUGGGGCAUUGCUUUCUUUAACUAGUUCACUAUAAAUCAGAUAGAAUAGAAGGCUAAACAACUUCCUAAAAAGGGCUCCUUCGGGCGGGCAUUAACACGGAUCUAACGACUAUUGGCCGAUCUCAUUCUCAUGCACGUGGAUAUCUUUACCUAUGGAUCUUCCCUUUCCUUUAGGACAGCCAGAAGGGCGGAGCUCUAUGUUCUAUUGAAAGCAAGCUGUCCUAUCUGUCUAUUAGUUAAAGCUGUGAUGUGGCAUUUCUUCAACAGCAACUUCACAUGCACAAACGGACCACUCAGCACUUCUAGGAGUCACCCCUUUGCUUUAGUGUACCGUCGGAUUGUGAAGGUGUUUAGUAAUCGGAUGCUCUCGAGGAAGAUGAAUUAGAUGAGCAUAAUUUCUCUCAGUAACUGCUUGGGGGCAAAGUGUUUUUUUGUGGCUUUCAUGAAGAUGAGACAAAGCUUGCUGUAUAUAUAUUCCAUUCACUCUUUGAGAUGUGAGGUGCCGGAGUAACCUUGUAAGAUAAGGAUAUUGAUAUAGGCCGAGAGAAGAAGAUCAGAUGGUUCAGCUAUCUCUUCUCCCUAUCCCUAUGAUAGUUGACUAUGCGAAGCUAGUAAUACAGUUCCAUUCGGGGCCAACCACCUGUCUUUGGCCGACUCACUCCGGGAUAGAACACAUUUGAAACCAGUGUCUCUGAAACGAUUUGGAUUGACAAAAAAGGACAUGUCCUGCCGACGAAAGAAAAAGAUGUGAGAAGGGCCCUUACUGUCCAUGUUUAUAAAAAGCAUUCGUAUUUUAGUUGUAGGAUCUUUUACUGCCUUGUGAAAUCCUCUAUUCAUGAGGAAGAAAGAGGUAUAUUUCAGAAAGUAGACUAUAUCCAUCCUAGGGGCUGUCACUCAUUCAUUCCUUAUCGAAUCCAUAAUAUCACUUAUAUAAAGCUUGAAGCAAGUGGCAAUGUAUUGAAGUUAAGGUUCUUUAAAAGAGAGAGUGGUUCAGGCGUGCUUAAGGCAUAGGCGAUCUUCAUCAACCCGACGUAAUGUACUCACUAAUUUCAUGAAAAAGAUCGGUCGUUCUAAAUGUAAGCUUAUUUUCGAAAAGUGAAAGGGCAUUCCUUGAGAGAAAGUCCCCCAUCCACUUCUUGAACAAGCCCAUAUAACGAGCCUAGCUGUAGCAGCCCUUAUUGCGACAGAGAGAGAAAACAACAAACAAGGAAAUAAGAAAUGACUGGCCAAUCUCGUGCCCUGUAAGAAGGAAGGCUCUCAGUCCCAGGUAAAGAUCUUUUCAGGCUUGAGGAAUCCGGAAAGUCAGGUUAUCAAUCAGCAUGCUAUUUGAAAGUAAGUCCCUCGUUUAAAUAAAGUGGAGAUUGUAAGGCUACCCUAAGAUACCCACCCACCGAAACCGAAGCGGAUCUUGGGCCCUCGGGGGAAGGGGUAGGCUAUUCACAUUAGUCAAGCACUUAUAGCAUUAAGCACUUAUAGCAUUAAGUGUAUAAUGGAAUAUAUGUAUAAGAUAAGAGAGACAGAUUUCAAGGGAAGGAAAGGAGUUUUGGAUUGCUCGCAGCUAGCAGCUGACGCUGCCCUUGCUUUUUAUUGCUCACAGGAUAGAUUCCAUUGGCCUGUGCCUCACUCGAGGGAUUCCAUUUGAUGCUUUCAAUGGACGAAAGAGAAACCCCUAAAUCACCCUAUAGUAAAUAUAUCUAAAGAACCGGCCCGGCACACCUAAGAUUCCGGAGUCAAUAGCUUAUAACAUAUCCCUUCUUUCAAGAGUGCCUGUGGAAGUUGUCGUUGCUUUUUAGCAUCCAGUGAGGAAGGAAGUGGAAUACUUGCAAGUGUGAAGGCUAUUCAAAUAGACAAGCUUUAUCUCCUAUUCGAUAGCUCUCGGAGUAUCUCGCAAGCUAUCCGAAAAAAGAGAAAAAGCAGCUAAUCUUUCAAAGGAUAGAAAGUCAUUGUAGCUAAUCUUUCAAAGGAUAGAAAGUCAUUGUCGGAUGUCUUUGAAGAAAGCACAGCCCUUGGAAUCCAUCUGAGGAAGCUCUUGUCUUGCUGCGGAAAAUGACCUAGUGCUUAGCUAGUGGUUAGGCAGUAGAGUUGGCCGGGCAAAGCAACUACUAUUAGUUUCAGUUUCAAGAUAAGGAGAAAGAGAAUCCGAUAGAUCAGAGGUUGUGUGAGCUCCCGACGAAUAAAGAACUUUGGAAGUAUAUUGACAAGCUUAUAUAACAAGUGCUAAACCAAGGCUAUGGCAACUCAUAAGGUUAUUGCUCAGCCAAGUAACGACUAGACAAAGACACUCUAGACAAAGAAUGCAACUCAAACAUUGGAAUUAGUGGUAGGGGUGUAAUAGAAGAUGUCACUAGCCUCUCCAUGGGUUCUAAAGUCGGAAAGUGAGAAUUCCAUUCAUAAGUCUGAGUUUACCCCCCUCUCGCCAACACUACGUUGCUUGUCUAUCCGCUUGUUGGUGUCUUAAUAGGGAUAGGGGAUUUUUCUGUUAGCAUAGUGAAACCUCUGUUCCAAUGUGUUUUUUCUUGAUAACAUAGCCCAGCAGAGAGAGUAGUCGACUUUCCGCGGGCAGCUGCAUAAACAUUAUUUCCGGAUACUCCUGCCUUUCGCCUCGCACUAGGAUGAAACAAAAACUCUACUUUUAGAACAGUUGACUUGCGCCUUAAUCGAUUAACAGCUGGUUCUCAAACUGCGGAUUCUUUCUAUGACAAAUAAGGUAAAGCCAAUCAAUCACCUCUAUCUUAGACACAGUGAUGAAGUGAAGAAGCACAAACAAACUAUAAGGCAAAGGCAAGAAGGAAGAAGGCGGAUUUCCAAGUCAAAGCAAUCUGAAUCAGACAAUUAUCAUCGACAAACAGAUUCCACUAGGGAUGAAACUGGGCCAAGCAAUUAGGCAAGGAGCUUGUCUAUAAGUGCAAGCUACGUAUAAUAUGGUUAGUUACGCCAUCUAGUGAAACCAUCUUCUAUAUCCAUAAUACUAGUAUAGUCGUUUGGUUACUCAUCCCGGCGCUUGGUCAUUAGUAGUUGUUGGGUUACAGACCUGAGCCUAGUAAUGGUCCCUGGCUUUCUCCUUUGCAUUCAAAACAACAACUCCACCAGUAGCUUGUUCCGAGUCAACCACUCCCUUACAAGCAAGUAGACCAGUCAUUUCACUUGCUUGCUAUGAAGCAUAAGAUCAGAGAACUCCUCACGCGUAACCAAGCAAACUAGCAACGGAAGAAGAUAAUACCAACCGUAGCUACGACUUCUGGAACUCUACUUGAACAGAUGCAACUCUUUCUUCUCAAGUGGAGGAAGGCAGAAUGAACUCUUCCUUAUCUCGAGUCUAAAACAGAUGAAACUGUAAGCAGCAGCUGAUGAUCAAUAGGAAUAAGUUGCAUCUUUUUGUGGAACAAAUCAUUCUUAACCGGAAACAGCUACUCUACGCGUGCUUUCCUCUUCUGCAAUCACUCCACUUUCCUUUCGAACGGAUUCCUAAUACUCAACAAGUGACAGAACAAAUAGACUUUACUGCAGCAUUCCAUUUCAAAUUGACUCUAUCUCUUCUCUUACCCGCGCAUUCCAAAAUGGAUUCCUCUUAUUAAGACGAUUCAAGUAGAACAGUCCAUUCUCUAAGUAGUGAAGUCAGUCCUAUUGUAUUUCUCCCUAUGUUUCUCCCCUUUUGAUUAAGUAAGAAAAUCCGCAUAUAUCUCCAGUCCUAGCGUAAGGGAGUGCCCUUAUUUUCUGGUAAGCUGCCAUUGUGUGCUGCGUAUUUGGUUUCUCUCUAGUUCCUGUGGGAGCUACCUGUCAUCGAGUGCUAGUUCCGAGUCAUGCACUUCUUUUGAGUUAGAUAUCCCCAUUUCUAUCAAAAAGGAAAGCACUAUCCUAACCUAGAAUAUGAUAUUCUAUAUUGCAAGUAAAUAAAAGGAAAUAAUACAACAACUAGACAUUUCUAUUGGAAAAGAGCAUAUUCUAAGAAUCCUCCAAACCACCUUAAGGCCGCUCACAUUCCAUUCCUUCUAGGCGUGGUGUAAGGACGGGGGUACCCUCGAUUUAAGCCUGUUUCCGUGCCCAAUUAGAUCAUAUUUCCGAUUUCCAGGCAAUAGUUUCUAGUUAUAGCUAAGUGCUUCCAGCGCGAUCCACAGCCUAGGGAAUAAGCCCCGAGGUCAUCUUUAGAGGUCCCUCUUGAUUAUUGCCUUUGCUUAUCCAAGUAAUCCAGCCGAGCCAGUGUGAGCGCCUCCUCAGGAAGUUUCAGAAUAUGUCUUAUCGAGGACCGGUCCUAAGCAGGUAUGAAUACAUCUUUCCUUUGUUGUAGGGCCGGCUUGAAUAUGGCUCCGUACUAUACUCUCUAUAUAGCGUGUAUAAGGCCCGCUUGUCUAAGGCCAGCAUAUAUAGCCUUUAGUUCUCGGCUGGAAGUUCUCUAUUACUGUAGUUUUUUGAGUUUGAAAGCCUUUCGCACAAGCAAGUGGUGAUAACAAACCCUAAAUGCGAAAAAGGGCUUACCAAAAUAGAAGUAUGGCAUAGGCAUACUUUCUUUUAUACAGUCGAGCAUAAGUUUGCUGUCCAGUUAUUAAGCAUUAUCCGAGUUUAGGAAGUACUACAUAAAGCUCUCCUCUGCCUGAGUUAAGGAAGUACUACUACUACAUAAAGCUCUCCUCUGCAGGCCAAAAGCCGUUUGAUUUCUAUCAGAUCAGGUCCUUACCUUGCCCUUCCAGUUUCCGUGGCAGUUGUUAGCCAAUGUUCAAUCCUCAGUAUGUACGUCCAUGGAAUUUCAAAGGAGGCUCACUAUCCAAAAGGCUAUUAGGGCAACUAUUUCUCCCCAAAAUACAAUAUCUUCCCGCUUUCCCGUCACGCUAUAUAUUCCUUUGCAUUGUAUAUCACGAGUGUUAGUUUCCACUAGCUUAGGAUGGUUUCUUAUGCUAUAAAGAUGGAGAUAGAUUGAUUGAGGAGAUUCAAAGGGAGAAACUGCUUAUAUUCCUCAAAUCUUAUAUAGAGAGAACAAAGAGCAUAUAUUCCGAUAGUAGGUGUACCGUGAGUGGAAGGGCUAUAAUUCUUCAAUAACCCCGAGCUCAGUUCUAGGGUGGCAAUGUGGUUUUUCCAGAGGUGGUAGAGGCGGGCCAACGGAGGUCUUUCAGUUCUACCUAUCGCAUGCAGCCACGCAUCCGAGUCCAUUUAAUGAAAUAAGCUACCAGUGUCACCAGUGUAAUAACCAAUUCAUUAGUCUUAACCGGUGAAGAAGGAAGAAUGGACAAGUUUGUUUUGCAUUUCUUUCCGAGACCUUAACAAGGCUUGCAAAAAAGAGCACUUUUCACUGCCACCCCACAUUGAAAUCCUCGUGUAGAAAAACGCUGGCUACGAGAUGUUAUCAUUCAUAGACGCUUUUCUCCGGCCAGAUUAAGCUCGCUAAAGAAGAGCAAGAGAAGACAUCAUUCACUACACCCUGGGGAACCUACUGCUAUGUUGUCAUGCCAUUCGGACUUCCAAAUGCUGGAGCCACAUAUCGAAGGGCCGGCCAUCUUUCCAUGAUAUGAUACACGACUGUAUGGGAGUAUACGUUGAAAUCCCGGGAAGCUAACCUUCGUCUAGUCCUCGAAAGAGCCCUAAAAUGGAAGCUCAAUCAGAAUCCAAAGAAAUGCUCGGUCUAUCUGCCGGAAUGCUCCUCGGCUUUAGUGGCUUGAUCAUAUAGGAUUUUACUCAAUCAAAGGAAUUGUUAGCAAACGAGGGCAUUAAGCGUGGAUCCGUCCAAGGUGCGUGCUAUACUCCAGAUGUCUACGCCAAAUAAUAUCAAAGAACAGCGAGGUCUCAUUGGAUUGACCUACUUCAAUCAAUUCAAAGAAAGAGAAAUAGGCUCAUUGACAGCUAGCCGCGGACCGACUAGAGGAAAUCCUACUAAGCACACUGGUGAAAUGAUGUAUCUUAAAUCAGAAAUCUGCAGGAAGAGCAGCAGUUAGUAGUUAGCGCGAAGGAGCUCUUUCGCUGAAUCAUCAUCGGUUCUAUAUCUUUUACCUUAUUCCAAAGGUCCUUUUCUAGAGGGGCGAAGACCACUUCCCCAUUUGAAGAGAAAGGCUACUAGUACGCUCUUUGAAGGAAAGAAAAUAAUGCGCUGGUAGGACAACACUCUAGUGGGAAAAUAGACAAGACAGUCAAUCCAUUCUUGAAAGAAGGGCUUGUUUGCUACGUGAAAUGACAUAGGUUUCCAUCUUAUUCAGAUGCUCAAUUACCGGUCUUUACAGUAUUGCUAAGAGUUUGCUUGCACUGGAUUGGCAGGCGACGACAUCUAUGGAAUUAACGUUAACGGCCAAGGAUAGGAUUUUCGGAAGAAAGCUGUCCAAUUGGAUAAGGGACAUAGCUAAGGAAAAGAAAAGAUCCAACUCAUCGAAAGAUGCCCCGAAGGAACUGCAAGAGAUGAGACAGUUGCUUUCACUAAAGGACCGAACGUUAUAGCCAUAAUCUGAGGUAGGGCCUUUAUUACAGUGGGAAAGAUGCAUCGAAAGUAUAGGCCUUCCUUCUUCCUUUCUUUAGUUUGGACAAAGGGUCUCUUCUCUUUACUGUUGAUGCGGCAUAAAGGCAGUUAGGAAUCGAUCUAUAUGCCAAGAAUAAGACAAGGAACUGACAACGCUAAGUAAGAGCCGGGAUAAAGAUAGGCCGUAUCCAGGAAUGGCGGGAUGCCUAAUGUCUUAGAUAAGGCACGGAACUAAUAGCAAUGGAAUCAUAAUCUUGAGUAAGGACAAAUCCGGCUAAAACAUAAUUGAUGUGAAACAGGGGCUUUGACUUUCAUGAACCAAUAGACUAUAUCCUGCCAUAUAAAUACACUCUCGAGCUAUGUUAGGACUGAAAGGGAUAGCUACGUUCUUAAGUUAGAUAGAUUGUUUGAUAACUCAGAAGAACUCAUAGACUAUAAAUCACUUAAAGUCUUAGAAGAGUUAUUAAGUUAGACAGAGAGAUCACUCUUUCUCUAUAAUAAGCUUUCAGGACAAUGAGAGACAGAGAGUGAGAAUUGUGACUCCAAAGAGGGAUUUAUUAACCUUUACGUGAUCGGUAAGACCUCCAUUCCAUUAUCACACUCCACUUCUUGUCCAGCUCUAGCAAUUCCAGUUGUUGGCGACUCGAAAGGUUCUUUUGUUGAAGUAUAAGGAGGUUCACUUGAUUGACUUUAAUCGUUUAUGGAAUCAGAGGUGUUGUAUCGUAUAGAAAAAAGGGUCAUUAUGGAAUCAGAGGUGUCACUCGCAAAGUCAAUAAAUGGAAUCGCGGUGCGACUUACCUUCUCAAGCACACAGAGACUCGUAGAUGACACUGACUUACCGCUUCUGAAGGACAGAAAGAGAGACCUGUUCCUAGAUGUACCCAAUUCUCUUAUGUACCCAAUUCUCUUAUUUAUUCUUUUUUUUGCACUCCUAUAUUCUUAAAGCAAUGGAACAAACAGACGAGCGACUCGGCGCCAAGUAACGGAUAGAAAAGUCACUACUACAAAGGCAAAGAGAGGAGACAAGCAACUAUGGCUGGGUAAGAGACGGAGUUAACGUUGUUAGCCUUGCAGGAUUCUGUUUCUUGAUCAGAUCCAUCACCUCAAAUCUAUGGUGAGUGCAACCAUCCCUUAUUAAGUAGGUAAGAGUCAAAGGUAACAUAAGAGGGCUUUCUCACUCAUGUUGUAUUAGGGUUGACUUUCGAGUGGCUUUAACUAAUUCCACAAAACAAAACAAAGGGCCACGCGUUACAGCAAUACCAUAGAGAAAGUGAGCUUAGAAAAGAUCCGAGUCCAAAAUAGCUUGGAUGUUUAAUGUAUUCAGUACGCCGGCAGGCAGAGCCUAAAACAAAGGAUCGUUUCGCUGGAAUGAUGAAUCUAGAUACUCCCAUGAAAAGGCUCUUAGGACUCUAAAACGAAUGAAGAAGUAAGAAGCGCCUGUGGUAGCAAGCAAGAAAUAGUUAGCGCCCCAUAUAUCAAUCUGAUAUUACCUCUUUCUCUAUCUGGUGAAGAGAGAAUAGAAGAGAAGAGAGUCUCAAUAGGGCACCCGUCGAGUCCAAAGCUCCAGCUCAAGCAGUUCAGUCCACAAAAAAGAGAAGUCUGCCAACUAGCUCAAGUAACAAGUGUAAAGUAGUGGAAAUCCAGUACCCAAAGGAAUAGGUAAUGCAAGAAUCAAGAGAAAAAGGGCCUUAGGGAGCAGUCAGGAUAGCAACUUUCUGGGUGGAAAAUGUGUAUACUUCAAAAGAUUAUUUGCUUUACCCGGAAGUCACAUAGUAUUCUACUCGUUUCGUAGCAUGAGAUCCUAUUGGCACGGAAGUGAAGAUUGAGAUCAGAAAUACCUCCUCUCUUCGCCAACUAUAAGCCCUUCAUGGACUAACCAUUUGUCCUCUGGAUUUGAGUGGCCUUCUACGGGAACGGAACUGACUAUGAACUUAGGUCUUGAUCCUCCCCGGAAAUGUUGUUCUAUCUGGAAGCAUCAGGGAGACGUGCAUCCUGUCUCUUACCUUACCCAUUUCCACCAACGAGUUAGAGAGUCGCUUUUCUAGAAGGAAAUCCUCUGAAUUCUAUGAUGAGCUCUUUUGAUCUCAGAAAGAGUAAAGCGUAUAAUUAUGGAAAUGAGGGCUUCUUUCCUAGCAUGCGGACAAUCUCAAGAGGGUGGUGAUGCCACUUAUACAACUACUAACACGGAGAUUAAGUGGGUCUAUUGUAUUUUCGGAAUCUCUACAUGGUGAGCUUUCUGAGCCACCCAAGCCAAUCAUCUUACGCGAUAAGAUUGAGAGGAUCCUUGCUAAAAGCUAUUCUUAUUCUGAUAGAUAGUUACUCAUCUCCAUACUUACUUAGAUAUGGAAGAGUUAUCUAGAUGACUUCGACUCAGAAGGCUAAGCUGCUACCCAAAACCUUCUUAUGAUUAAUUACUGACAGCUACAAGAUGAUCCAUAUAAUAUUAGAUUCAAGUUAUACUUCUUCAAGAGCAAAGCAUCUUAUACCGAGAAGCUAGUUCUGGCCCUGACAAGAAAAGAAGAAAGAAUAAGGAAGUGUCUACUUACUUAGUACUGAGUUAGCUUAUAUGAAAGAAGUCGAUGAACUCAUGCAAGCGCAAGGGCGAGCUACCAACUCUGGCUUUUGACUCACACACUUCUAGAAGUCAAAAAGGAAUGCGCUUCACCGGUUGAUCAUGUAUGGAACUAAACGAUCUUUGCUAUACCACGUGAGUACUACCCUGUCUUGUACUUUGUUCGACAGAAUGAAUUAAAGAAUUGCUUCCUGCGAGGGAAGGGUAUAAAAUCUCAGGGCCAACCCACUACUACAAAAGCACAGGUUGCCAGAGCGAACACUAGCUGCCCUGACGCGAAGUUGCAAGGAGGUGGAUGAGCAAGAGAAGAGGAGAGGCGUGUUGGUGCUGCCGAAUUACUAUAAGGUCCUGUUCUUGCCCUUAAGUAAAUUGCUGUAAGUACUGAGUUGUGCCGCGUAGGUCAGUUAUGAAAGUGGAGUUCAAUUGUCUAGGUUCGUAGCUAGGGAAAGAAAGAAAGAAAGGGCUGCCGAAAGAAAGGGCUGUGAACUGCUACCCACCUCCACGACGCAAAGGCUUAAACCCUUAAAGAGGAAGAGAGGAAGACCGCUUGCCAACAUAUAACUUCACUUAGCAAUUAGCAUGGUACUCUUUGUAUUUCUCUUAGCAUAUGCUCCCCAUCCAUACCUCGUAAUCCCUAUGUUUAGCUUAGCACAGGUCUUAUUCGAGACGGUUUUUUUGAUGUGUUCGGUUGGUAGGUAUCCCGGCUGAUUGAUGCUGGGGUAUGUUAUCUACAUUCAUCUUAUGCCUAGGUUCGAUUGAUGCUGGAGGUUAUGUUAUCUACAUUCAUCUUAUGCCUAGGUUCCGUUCUUAUAUCACCGUUAUUAAAAAGGCAUAAGUCUUCGUUGCACUAAGGCUUUAACCACUAACUUCGAAUUGAACAGUGCCUAUAGUGAAUCAAACAAAGAGCCCAAUGUCUAGCUAUAGGGCUUGGAUAGUCAAUAAAGAAUUGCGCCAAGCAGCAACAGAGCAAAUCCCUUUCCCGAACUCUCUCCUUCAGCUGCUCUUCCGCCACUCCGAACUCCGAGCCUUGCCCUACUUACCUGGGACCUUGCUUUGAAACCGACACCCAUUAGCAGCAUCGCCUAUCUGUUAUUUGAGUCCUGCACAGCUUUCUCUAUUCUCACUACCCAGUCUGCGACUACUUGAUCUAAGGUGUUUCUAAGCCUUGCUUCACUGUCUCCGAGCCUGCCGCUCCGACAUCUAAAUAUGUAUUUCACCCUUGACUCUGUCACUACUUCCCUAAAGUCUUUGACGCCGAGCUUAGGAUCUAGGAAAGGGAGAGCUCCGAUUCUGAUUAUGCCCUUACUUAACCUAGCAUUCCAGUCAAUGGAAACAAGAGGAUAAGAAGUCAGAGUGGGUUUACAAUCUAGUGCAUCAGAGCUCUAAGACUAAGGUAGUAUGAUCUAUUACAUUAUAAGACCCAUACCCAUAGUUGUAAGUAUAGAAUGCAACAAAGGCUAAGGAAUGAAACAAAGGUAUAUUAAUUCCACUUAUUCUCCUCGUCUACUGGCGCUUCUUCCCUACGGAAAUUCUGUCUACCAGACUCAAAAGCGUACUUAGGGAAUAGGUAGUGAACCCUAGAGACAGUAAACUCAGAAUGAAAGAAAGGUUAGUAAGAGGCGCGGUAGGGCAAAGCUCUAAGUAAAGGAUGCCAGGAACAAGUAUCAAAACUACAGUCAAUAAUUUCCGUUUUUGGGUUACGAGCUGAGGAGCUAGAGCCGUUAUCUAAGAAUCCGAGUCAGGGGUCUCCUGGGGUUAAGAGCUAGUAGCGGCAUAUUGAGAUAAGGCAUUGGAAGACCUUAAGUUAUUAGAUAUAGAAUAAGAUACAUGGAUUUCAGUUUGAUAUCAAAGAUAGAGGUAUACUAUGAGUUAGGCAGUAAGCAAGGGUUUAGGUCCAUAGUAGCAGACUAACAAUCGAGCUAUAGAGAAUGAAAGGCAGGGAACUUAGGCGGGUCGACAUCCAUAGAUAGGGAAUUGAACGACUACGAAUUCGAGUAAAACAAAGAGAUAGGGUCAAUGUAAUUGAGCUACUGAUACGGAUCUUUGCCUUACUUCACUCCAUUCUGACUGUGCUUUCUCUUACUCUUUGACUUAUUACUUGGAUUCUCCACUUUCAAACUAAAAACACCCGUUAGUCUCACGCCCGCCCUUUGCCUUAAAUCUCUAUUGAAAUUGAUACUAUACUAGCCCUGCCUGUUACUCUUCACUAGAAAACGGACUUCCUUUUCACCGGGCAAGCAACUGUUCGUUCUUGGGGCCGUCUCGCAUAAACUCCCCUAUCAUACGCAUUGGUAUAAACUUAGGACAACGUGGGCCAUCGGUAAUUCAUUCGCGGGCGGGUCUCGCAUUAACUCUGUCUUCUCGCAUUAACUCUGGCUUCUCGCAUUAACUCUGUCUUCGGGCCGGGCUAAACUCUAUUUCAUCUUGGUGCACACAAUCAUUCUGUGCUAUGGUCCAGCAACUCCGGUCCCGUCUUCGCUGUGCUAUGGUCCAGCAACUCCGUCAACGUGGAUCAUCAGACAUCGGCAAGGGGCUCAUUCCUUAAGUCAACCAAUCAUUCUCAUAUAUACACUAUGCGCCUCGGACGUGCGGGUCGAGCAACAAGGUAGUUAACUCCGCCUCCAAGUAACGUAAAUAAGUCUUUCGCUGGUGUGGUUCGGUUGUAAUCGCUGUCAUUCAUGGAAGGGCCGGGCAACUACGUACCUCGGUAAUUCAUUCAUAGGUAGGUCAUUCGUUGGGUGAAACUACAUUGAUUCUGAGGGCAAGCUUAGUAUACUACUCAGGUAUUUCACUAAUUCUUAUUUCNNNNNNNNNNNNNNNNNNNNNNNNNNNNNNNNNNNNNNNNNNNNNNNNNNNNNNNNNNNNNNNNNNNNNNNNNNNNNNNNNNNNNNNNNNNNNNNNNNNNNNNNNNNNNNNNNNNNNNNNNNNNNNNNNNNNNNNNNNNNNNNNNNNNNNNNNNNNNNNNNNNNNNNNNNNNNNNNNNNNNNCAGGUAAUGGAACUCAUCAGUACAAGGCCGAAACCGCUAAUACUAUCAAAGUGGAACCGGGAACUCAACCCCUAUAUCCUAUCUACGAGCCUGCCCUACCUUAUAUUCUGAAUUGAACCACUCUAUUCUUAUCCCUCUGUGCGCUCCCGCUUGUCAACUACUUUACUUGCUUUCAUUCCCCCAUAAGUACUGGUAUCUUUCUGAGUCUCCUAAUUGUAUCUCUCUUUCUAUAUUCUCUUUAUCGGUAUUAAAGUAUAGGCUUUCAAUGAAUUAGAAGCUAUAUUAGGUGCAUUCAAUAGUGGAUUUCCCAUCAACUCCAAAUAAGUGCUGCUCUAGCUCAUUUGAAACUAAUCUAUUUAUUGGUAAAGGCAGAGAAAGGAACAAUACUAUUAAGCUCGGAACUCAGCAUCAAAGGGAUAAGUAGAACACUUGAACUCAACACUUGCAAUUGAACUCGGAACAGGGAAUUCACUAACUUAUAAUAGGAAUGGGACUAGCGAUAACAAGACUGGAGCUACUAACUACCAGAAUGAAAACAUCGAGUGGUAACUAAAUCCAGUAGUAACAGAGUUAGGUUUGUGAUCCCAAGAAUGGUCUUUAGUAUGGGGGAAAGCGGAAUGAACCUCAUUAGUCAAAUCAUAUUAAAGGAAUGCGCCAGGGAAUGCACCAAUGGAUACGUAAUGAAACAAUAGAUACGGAAGCCGGCUUGACAUAGAGAAUGAGUCGUCUACGCGGACUAUCCGAAUGAGCUCUGUGGGCAGGGGAUCAGAUCCACCCCAUCAGCAUAUGGAACGAAACCACCCAACUAUAUUAUGACUUUUCUUAAUAGCCAAAUAACUUACCCGACUCUCUUUGGACAGUGCCAAUGCUAUUAUUAGUUGAGAGUUGGGGUAGAGGAGAGGGAUGCCGAGAUUCAAGGUAGAGUCAAUUAGGCUUAGAAGUAGAGUCAAUCUCCGGGGGUUUUUAAUCAAGAGUAAGAAGAUAAUAUGAUAUAAUAUAACGGAAUACUCAAUUUCAUAAUCAAAUAAACAAGUCAAAACCAAAGACAGUAGCUAAGGAAGUAAAGUAAGGCAGGGCAUCCUUGUGGAAGCACUAAUUAAUGAAUUCAAAUCAACAGUUUCGGCUUUAAAGCAAGGGGGGACAUUCUUGUUAGUCAGUGGCUACAGUCUGUUAGACAGUGUUCGAUCUGAUAGUUAGUAUAGUUGUUCAAGCCCUAGUUCUUAGUUUAAGUAAUAGGAGGAGUAGUUUGAUUCGUGUCCUUCAGCUCAAGUAUUAGAAAAGCUACAGUCAGUACAAAAUAGGGUACUUUGUUUUGACUUUGAAGAUCUCUCUGUUUGCUCUUUCUGCGGCUUUCUCCCCGGUGAAAAGAUGAAUUCAAUUGGCUCACUCGAUCUGGAAUGGAACCGGAUAAUAUGAAAUGGGCUCUCGACCCAGGCCUUGCUUUGUUUACCUGUCUUAUCGUAUCCAAAAAGGUUUCCCAGCCUAGCCUAUCUCGUUGUUUGGUACCGAAAGAUGGAAUCGGGCAGCUCAAAACCAGCCCAAUCUCUUCAUGGUCAACAUCCCCUUUUCUUAAGCUUUUCGUCUUGUUGCAUGUGCCUUACGGUAUCCUCCGUCCUCUCUGUUUCCUAUGAUUGAAGUUCAGAUCCGCAAUAGUAAGUAUAUGAAAGGGCAGCUUUCCUUGGUAAUAAAAUGCAUAAGGAAUCUGGUUUUCAUAGAACUGAGGACUAGAGGCCUCCCCACCCAAUUGAGAGGAGAAAGUCUUUUCUUCUAAAACCCAACCAGUUGUUAGAGAUGGGUCGGAUAGGCAAUCAACAUGAUUGGUCCCGUCCCAGUUUAAGUAGUUGGAUGUGAGUGCGUCGGAUAAGCGAAAGCUAGCAGUAUAUCGAUCAAAGAAAUCAUACGGAUUUAACAACCUACAGAUUCUGAAUAAGCUUCAUUGUUCCCACCAUCCAUAUUAUAUCAUCCAAGAAAGAAUUAUAUCAUCCAAGAAAGAAUAAGAAAUGAGAGAAUAGAAUACAGAAUUAUAUCAUCCAAGAAAGAAUAAGAAAUGAGAGAAUAGAAUAUAUGAGUAAGAAUCAAUCGUUCAGUGAUCGCUACGCUUGAUUGAUUGGGGCUACUCACACGGGGUUGGAGAACACAGGACUUGUUUAUAACUUGAAGGAAUUGUUAUAGGAAGCAGCCCUGCCGCGCUACAACUACUUGGAAGCCGCCCUAAGGGAAUGAGUUGGCGUGGGAAGCUUUCUCACCGGGGGCAAAGCCAAUUCACCUAUAUAAGAAGAGAUAGAAUUAUCCACUGGGCAAGUAACUCCUAAUGUGUAGCGGCAGCCUUCUCCACUUUUCUGGAUUAUUUAUGAUUUCUAAUUGAUUGUUUUCCAAGUCAGUAAACUCCCUGAGCCCGUAAGUAAACCAGCCGACCUUCGCCUCAAAGCGAGUACUCUCUGGAACAAGCCUCCCCUAACAAGCAAGUAAGUCAACCAGAUCUGUGCAGGAACCAGAGGUAUAGUAGCCAUUGUCUAGUACUAAUAGGUCUAAGCGAAAUAGGGUUUCCAUUUCUGAUAUUAGUUCUCGCUGUAGUAAAAGCAAGAAUUCCCCAUACCCUCCAAAGGGAUUCAAAUCUUAGCAUGAUGAGCAUCCCUUCAUUCUUCCCAGCGUUCCAGUAUAUAGUCAGGGUCACUGCAUCUUUUAUUAAAGGGUAGAGCAAUCCGAAUCCCUCCCGCUAUUUUCAAGCUUACAUCUCUUGUGAUUGUUACCCUUUCAUUAGAUUGCUUAUAAUAACUCGAUCGUAGUGGUUCAGUCUCCUCUAACCAAUUACUUGGUUCCCAAUUCUCAUCCCUAGUGUAGGUGAUUUUGAUUCCCCAGGAAGUUUUACACCCUCUUAUAAAGGCUUGGAGAGGCCAGUCAGCAUAUAUGGUUUGCUUGUUUCCUUUAUUUGUCUUCUACUCUUCUCCCGUCUGCUUCAGGUUCCACCAAUCCACAUUCUGUUUAUGGUGUUCAUUCGAAAUAAUAGCUAAGGAUAUCGGCCUCCAAAGAUUCUUUAAGAGCAUCAUUUGUUUCCACUGAAUUUGUGUUUUUUCCAGUGGUAUUAGUUCUUUCUUCAUCUCAAGGGGUAUGUUUGCAAACUCGAGUGUAGACAAUAUUCCUUUAACCUGCUCCCCUAAGCUUAAUUGCUCGGCGUGCAUGUGUGCUGUUAACAGGCUCUUAGCACCCGAACACAGGACUUAGUAAUUCCUUGGCUGAUAGCAAUUCCAGACUUCAGUACUUAUGGUCAUAGGUGUCUGAUUCUUUGACUGACUAGUGGAAUUCUGAUCUUAGGAGUUUCAGCUCUAUUCUGAUCUUAGGAGCUGUGCUUACUGGUGGAAUUCUCACUUUUUGGAAUUGGAUUCCUCUGAUUGAAUCAUUGGUCCUAAGGUCUGUUUCAAUUCGAUUUGCAUCUGUAUUUGCGACUCGAUUUCCUUUAUUUCGCCCUACAUGCCUAUACUCUAAUAAGUUGGAUGAUGCCCUGGCAAAAGCACCUACUCUGACGACUAUUGAGUUUCUUUCUGAGUACCGACUCCAGGUAGCCUUCCCUCCCACACCACACGCCCACUCUUCUAGUAAUAUAUCUCAUUCCCUAUUGUUCAUUUGGUUCUUGGACUGAUGAGUUCAACUCCUUGUCUGAGUGUUGAUGCCUCUGAUUGAAUCAUUGGUGAAAAAGUCAGUAGCCCGCUCUAAGUCAUAUAAGUGAGUAGUAUGCCCAGAGUAAUAUGGAUAGUCUGCUCUUAUUCUUUCCUAACAAAGAAAGAAAGGAAUUCCAAUGAUCCUAGGCAAAUAAAAAGAUGUUGCCCGCACCCUCCAUCACAGAAUAGUUAUAGGUAUCAAUACACCCAAUCCCAGAUAGCAGCCAAGAAGCACUAGCCAGAAAACACAAAGCCCCCUUACUAACUCCAACGGGAUUCGCCUCCUGAAAGACUCCAACCACCAUCUUAAUGAGUCAUGAAGAGUAUAACGAACAUACCUUAUCUACACAUUGGAUCGAUAGGGAUCACGCUUAUUCGUAGAAAGCCGAAUAUUGAUAGCCUGGCCGGGCAACUAACUAGCAUUAUAUGGACAGAAAGCAAUCGACCGGGAUCAUUCCAUACGAACUAAAGUAUGAACACGAUACCAUGGAAAUAUCCCUUUCUCAAAGAUAAAUGGACACAAAGUGAACUCUCAUUUAUCGCAUUGGAAAAGACGUUUCUUAUUUCUCUAACCUUUUCAGUGGAUUCUCUGUAUGAGAAAGAUAUAGUGUUGGUGUGAAAAGAAAUAUAGUUAUUCUGUUCCAUUGAAUAAUAACGUAACAAUUCCAUUCGUAAGAAUAAAGAGAAGCUGUGGAUCCAUUCUAUACCCAAUGAGUCCCAGCACAAUGGGAGUGUUCUACUUUCUUUCGGGGGUGGGCAUAUAGACUUUUGUGUUUCUUAUUCCAGCCGUAAGUUUCAAUUUGUCUUUAUUCAUUCUGUCUUAAAAGAAAAAGGGCGGAAGACGAUAAAGCCAUUGUGACCUUUCCAUAUUAAGGUGAAGUGUAUGGUACUAUAUUUCUCUCUGGAAUUGAAUGCCCAAUUUCGGAGUCCUCUGUAGAGGAAGAUGCAGUAUGGGUUUCUUACUAGUGCUAAUCUUCUGGGUCAUAUGGCGUUCUCUCCCUCGAUCGAGAUGUCCUCAGAAAAUGAUUCCAACAGUAGUAAUGAGUAUUGACAUAUAUAGAACAAAGUAGGUCGAUAAAGUAUUCAAACAUAAGAAAUACUAUGCAUUCGCCCUUAGAGAGCAUAAGAAUAAUAAGAGACUAUACCUCAGGACAUAAGAAUAAUCAGAUUAUGCAUUCGCAACCCUAUAUAGAAUUUCAGAAUAAGUUCUAAUAGCAUGGCAUCGCACUUUGAGUUCUAUGAACAAACCAUUAUUCUAAGAAAGUCAAUACGAACAAUCAAAUAAAGUCAUAUUGAAAUAUGAGUAUUGGACCUAACCCCCAGAUAGUAAGUCCUAGACUCGAUAGCUGCAUUCCGGAUCUCGUAUUUCAGUAUUGAACUCCCGGGGACGUACUUGACAACUACUCUACCCUGGUCCGCACCUUAACUCGGUAUUUCCUCCUAGACUCAAGACUUAUAAACUUAGUUCUCUUAUGACAAUUCUGUAUUUCACUUGGGAGUCUCCGUUUUGCCUUGAAGAGCUCACUACAAUGGCAUCUAAAUAAGAUUAGCUAUCCAACCAAAUAAGUGUUGCUAGAGUUCUUUUUUCACAAAUAUCUUAAUUGGAUUGGGAAAAUGGUAAGUGAUAUGAAGAAUUUCGCUUCCAAGUAAGAAUACCGGUAUAGACGCCUCAACCCCAACUAGGCUUGUCUUAUUGGUAGUGAUUUCACUCUUUUACUUACAUUACAAGUUGGAUUCAUUAACUAAUGGGCCCAACCCCUGCUCUACAGCUUAUCAGGUUUCUCUCAAAUCAAUAGGGUAGUCAAAACAGUGUGUUACGCAUCGCCAUAUUGAGACCGUUUUCACCGGAUUUCCAAAAGCAAAUAAGAAGAAGUUGACUAUACUCCAUAACAUAAUAAUAGGAUAAGGUUGGUCAACUGGCCAAGCGCCAAGGAACUCAAAUACAUAAAAAGUAAUAAGGUUGCGAAGCAAAUAACUUAUUUUGUUGUUGUUAUUACAAUUCCUGUGUUCGGCAGACAAGACGACACUAUUGAUACAAGCAAUCUAUUUGGGCGGUUUCGUUAUUGUACUUUUGGGUAAAAUUCCUACUGAUGCGUUUUAGCCUUAGCCCAACUCGGGUAUUCUUGAUUCCUUUAGGCCUCCUAUAACUGGUCUUGGUACUCCAUUCCUGUAUGCCCCUGUUCGGUUCUUGUUAGUAGUGAUAUCCGCCUUGUAAGUAGUAAGUAGUAGUCCGCUUGUCACUAGUGCGUUUCUCGUAAAGCAGUAGUUCACUCCCCAUCUGUACUAGUCAAAUUCCUUAUUCUUAACUAUAAGAGAAGGUAUGUUUGCCAGCAGCUCCAUUAUGAGGAGCACUAGAUUUCGUUUUCAAGCAAAGAAAAUAUGGGUAGGGUUCAAUCAAGGAUCCGUAUCAGUAGCUAGGGAAUUCCAGACAAGGAUAUAGGAUUUGAAGCGGGUGUUUGUUCCAUGACUCAACAGAAUACGAUGACUCAAUAGAAUACGAGAAAACACAGAUAAAUAAGAACAUAUUACUUAGUUUGGUUCUAUGGGCUACUAAACAUAUCCUGCAUAAUCCCCAUAUAGUACAACAAGUCUGUUUGCCACUAGCUCCAUCGUUCAAUGAUGAUAACUAUUGUCCCUUUGAACCCAAUCGUAGUCAAGAUCGAAGUUCCUAGAAUAAUAAUAUACUCCAAUUUCAUAUACUAUCUUGUUUGAGCACAUUAAUACAAGUUAAUGGAAUACCCAAUUUGAGAAUAUAGGUUAUACUCCCAACUGACCUUAACAAACUAUACUAUCAUACAGAAUUGAACAUAGGAGCCUAAGUCAUAACCUUUGAAUUUACCUACAGUUAACUGGGCUCUAUUAUUAGUCUAUCCUGCCUUGCUUCGAUUCUCCAUCUAAGUAGUAGUUCGUUCUCGUAGUUGUCCCUUGCGCCCUUGCUUGUUGGGUCGGGCCUCGAGUAUGACUUGCGCUGCUCUGUUAAUGUAGACACAUUGGUAUUCUUUGAACUUUUCUUGAUUUCUAUAUUGAUAUUGAUUAUACUGAUAUGUGUGUUUUCAUAUGAUAUUUGCUAUUACUAUGAGGCUUUAACACCUGGCCAGCAAUAUAGCAAACAAACUUAAACAACGGGCGAUUGUUCACUUCGACGACGCCAUGGCGAUCAGAUCAAACCAUAGGGACAGAGCGAAAAACAGCACGUGUCGCGUCAGUGCAGUGUCUCGGUAGGCUCAGUCAGAGCAAGAUCUGUGGCAUAACUCGAUCACAAGAAAAAACCCUUCCGUUUCCCUCAUAGCGCUAUCAGACUUAGAGAGAAGUUUCUCAUCACUCACCUGCCUUUCAGAGUGACCUUUUUCUUUUUCAUAGAAAUACCUUACAGCGAAAGGGACUAUGUAAGUGCCAAGAGAUAGAAUCAUAGUUUCAACCAUUAAUGACAAUGUUAUUAUCUUCCCGCUUUGUUUAUUCUCUAUUUGUUGCAGGGGGUCAAAGGAAUCUAGCUAAACCCGUUCAAUAGCAGUUUUCUUUAGUGGCUCCCCGCAUUCGCAUGGGCUAAUUACUUGGUGCUACAAAGAUUAGAAACAUAAGUCUCUUGGAUCCCAUCUAUCUACAGACCUUCUUAGCUAUCAAAGUAGAUUUCUAUAUGCCCGUUGAUUGAUCCAAGUCUUUAGUUACAACAGGAGAGCUUGUUUACAUAUCUUUCUUUUGACCAGCUGCUCAGGAAGCCACCAACCAACAAGAAAUCGUUUUUAGAACAAAGAGUCGAAUUCAGGCAAUAGGUUCCCCUGAGCCUUCGAUUCUUGCAAGUAGGAAAGCUUCUUAUGGGGUUGGGAAUGGGAAGGAAGAGACUGGAAUGCCCCUAGAAAGAAAGAAAAGCUCUGUGUAUUACUUUAGAAGCAAACAGAUAGCAUUUACGAGUCAGGGAUCCGUCUAGCAAAAGGUAAUGGAAUGGGCUUACAUUCAUUCGAUGAGGGCAAAAGAAUGAGAAGACAUCACAUAACAGAUCCUCUUAUAUUGAAAGCUAGGAAUUGAGCCGCUAAGCAACAAGAAAACGGUAGUUGUACUCUACCAGUGAGUGAAAUAAACUCGGCGGAACGGAACUAAGGUUUCACUCAGAUAGAGCCUAAAGUCAAGCAAACCCUAUAGCCCAGGGAUUCUUUGAAUGGCACCGACAUACCCUUUCUUUAAUGGAUUAGAGAUCAAAGUAUAGAUUGAAAACGCAAAGUGGAGAUUGAAAACAUAGUGAAGCUUGGACUGACCUUCAUGCAUUCUUUUUCUAUAUGAGAAUCUCGCAAAAAGAGACAAGUUAAGCCCUAAUACGUUUAGCUACUCAUUCAUUCGCAUUCGAUUAGGCAGAGAAGAAACCUUGAUGAAGAUUCGAAUUCUUAUAGUAGGAAAGCGAUCACACUUCUAUCUAGACUGCCCCUUUAAUCACUCACUCUAUUUAGUAUAGAUUUAUUUGAAACAUUCUCUCAUUGAUUAGCUAUCUCACGGCUGUCUGCUCUUCGUUUUUGGGUUGUAAAGGCAGCCGGCAUGAGAGAACAGCACCCCUUAUGGGUAAGCAGCAUCUUCGAACUUUCGUGACUAGGCAAAUUCUUAUUCCAGCCCAGCACUCGCAGCUUCACUUAAGGAGCAGCCUAAACAAAGGUGUGGGUCAGAUAGGGAGUUUGUUGAACAGCACGGCAUUCUGAUUUUGAUGAAACUAGCCUGUAGACAUCUGAACAUAGGCUAAUUGGGAUAUAAACCUAAGGGCCAAACUGAAUGGAACAGCCGAUUGAGAGGCAGAAGAUCAGAGGUCCCUUAACCUACACCUAUUAAGAAAGAAAGGGAUUUGGAAAGGGCCGCAGCUGCAUCAACGACGGGACUGAGACUUGGAAGGCAGGCUUAUUCCAGCAAGGGAAGUGGGGGCAGACGUUCAAGAAGUCGUGACAUGUGAUCUCACCUACCUUAUCCGAUCUGAUGUCUUCGAGGGCAUUGAGGAAAAGGCACAACACGCCAAUGAAAAGAGAAACUCGCUCAUAUAUAAGAGAUCAUUUGACUUUAAAGUAGUGCUUGAUUGAGGGAUUAACCCCGAAUCCUUACACUUUCCGGUACAAUGCCUACUCCCUUUUCCUCUUUCAAGUGGGUGGAACUCUUUAUAAGGCAAAAGAAAGGUUCAAGCAGAAAGAUCUCAUAUUGAACUUCAAAGAACGCUAGGAAAGAAAAGAAAAACGAAGUCAAUCCCAUAACGAACGGAGAUUUAUUGCAUUACGUCAUUCACGUCUAGCUCACCCAAUAACGCCCUACCCGCCAGAGAGGGAAAUGCCUUGACAGUGCCUAUUCUUUCUUCUGAAUAAUACCCUUAUACUUAAGUGGAGUUGGAGUUGAUGAAUUGGCCGUAGGUUUUCUCCAUCCAUCUGAACGGAACUAUCUUCCCUUCAAGCAAGGCUGACUUCAUUGAAUGCUUCCGCGAGGCUGACUUCGUUGAAUGCUUCAAAGCGUAGUUUCAUUGGCGCUUAAUAGCCAGUAGCUGAAUGGAAUGUGGGUAUACCCUGACCUCUAGGCUAACAGAAUAGCACUUGUGGAAUGACCUUAUUAUGCCCCUUUCUUUUAGUUCAAAAGGAUCUCUUCACUGACUCCCAUCUAUUUCAUCUUUCUCAUCGAAAAAUCAAUCGUACUUACUUACUGACAGACUUUCAUUAAUUGUUUACUGCCUACUGAGCUUACUGAAUGCUUUUCCUGCCCUUUGACCAGAAGACGGAAAGAAAAUAAGGUAGGUUCUUCCACAUAUAUCCAUUUAGAGAAAAACGAAAAGGGGAUGGGGAAACGGAGGGGACUUUCUUUCACGCACGAUAGGCCAGGCGUUGAACCGUUACUGCCGCCAAACCAAGAACGGAAAGAGACUCCUAUAGAUCGAAUACCAGACUGCCCACUACACUCCCGAAGACAAGACUUGCAACUGAAAAAAGAACUUCUUCUUCUCGGCUUUCCACUUAAUGUAAACCACCCGACCUCUACUUCACUUGCAGACUUAUGGACAGAAGAAAUAGGACUUGUUGCGACGAGGAAAACAUGAAAGAAAACUGGAAUUGUAAUAACUUAUUGGGGUGUUCGAGAGCAGAGCCAGAGAGAUAAUGUAAAAGCCGGCCCUUCCCUUAAGCGCUCCAUGUAGUGGGCAUGAGAAAAAAGAUGAUCUUCACGAUGAAAGUCAAAAGCACCCAAAGAAACGAAUAAUAUUAUUUCAAAGGAGCUACAGCACCAAACUGUUAUUUUGUUAUGAAUUAGAGCACCAAACUGUUAUUUUGUUAUGAAUUAGUCCUGGCAACUACUAGACAAGUAUAGAAACUAAAACAACAACUUCUAUAUUUACUACUUGCUUAACACAAGCCACUAAACCCUAGUAAUAUCAAUCCCCAAAAUGAACCGACCUGACCUCCUUUCUUUAGUUUUGCUUGUUGAGUUCCUGUCUUCCGCUUACGUAAGAGUUAUUGGAAUUCCUGUCUUAGUCGGCGCCAGUGAGUGACUCAAGCGAAAGCGCAUAGAACAAAAGGUCAUAUCCGGGUAAGAAAAAGAUUCCACAAUUCCUGUAUGAACGGAAUGUAUACCAGGUAAGAAAAAGAUUCCACAAUUCCUGUAUGAACGGAAUGUAUACCAGAGAAUUAAGCAGGAGCUGGAAAGUCUCAAGGUGUUACCCACGAAAGAGAGAGAAUCCGCGGCUGCGGUUCAAUAGUCAGCAGCAAGUUGUUCUUCACUGAAAGUAUAGGUGAGGUCGGCAAUCAAGUCUUCCAAUUCCAGUAUCGUUCUAGUUGUUGGCUACGAGUAAGGUCAGAGGUAAGCUGUCAAUUAAGUUGAGGUAACAGCGCUAAAGUCAGUGAUAAGGCUAAGUGAUUCAGUAUCCAAGUCGUCAACCGCUUGUCCCGGGUACAGUAUCAGAUCCUACAUCUUUGCUUGGAGAAUUCCAUUCUAAUGCAUUCGAAUCGACAACACCAAGAUAUCACACUGAUUCUUAACCUUAGGAUUCUCUUUCUUCUGCUUCAGUACAACGUGCUUCAAACAUAAACCCAACAUCCAGGUAAACUGAUUGCAUUGCCAACACCUCGAUACUCUUCUGCUACACUGCGUAGUGGGCAUUAUCAAAGGUCAAUUCUGUCUUCAGACUCAACGAGGAAGGUAUGGGUUCGGUACGACUUAAUCAUAUUUCAAGGGCAAGUUCCGUUGAUAGAGGUGGUGAUUGGCUUUUCCUUUAGGUGGGCGACCGGAAGUUUUUAACUAAACACAAGUCUACGAUAUCAUCUGCUGGAUCUAUUCUAGGAAAAUACUCCCUUUAGCACUUGUUCUUGUUGUUCCGUUGUUUGUUGUUUCGGGGUCACUAUAUCUAGCUUACUUUUAGCCUAACCUUUAUGUGGCGAUUCGAGAUCUUCUUCUUAAUAUGAUUCAACGAAGGCAAGAGAACGAGCUCUACUUAGAAGGGGAUAUAAAGCGGGGAAGAAUCCAAGAGUGACUGAGGACUGUUACACUGAAGAUACCCCUUUCCCUUGGAAUAGAUAGAUAAAGACCCAAUUCGAAUUCUCAUGUUGGUGCAGGAGAUGUAGCGUAAAGUACAUGAGAUUGAGAUGUUGUAGCCGAGGAUACAUGAGAUUAACAAUCAGUAAGUAUAGUAGGGCUCCGUUAGCUGGCUGUGGUAUAGAAACCCAGUAAAGAAACAAACCACUUCCCUUUCUUUUCAAUCGGACCUCUGACUUUAUCCUUCGCAUUCAAUUAACGAUUCCACUCGAACAUCAAUUUAUGAACGGUCGCCAACAAACAUGGAUUGAAGUUUCACUCCACUUUAUGAUUGAAGUUUCACUCCACUUUAUGAACCGAAAUAUGAAGUUCUAACUGAUUCACUUUGCGCAACAGCCUUUGAGCAGCGAGCGGGACUAUAAGCCCUUUUUGCUCACUUUUACCUAUAGGGUAAACUCCUCUUUUGUGGGAAUCAUUUCAACUCGGAAACAGUCCCUCUGGUGCAUCUUAGCCUAGCAUCUUACCUGUUUCAAAGCUCGAUAAGCAAAGGUUUCAAGUCCAGCCCUUGAUUAACUCGCAUUAGCCGAGAAAACAGGACUGUAUGAAGUGAAGUCAACAAAUACUAAUCUCUCUGCAGAACGAGCAUAUGGGGGUCUUGUAUAGAUUUCUUCAAAUACACUACUUAAGCUAUUCCUGGCAACUACUAUACUCCAGACAAGCAACUACGGAGUGGAAGGUAUAAAACAGAGGUGGGAAUAACUCACUUUAGCUAUGAAUUAGGACUCGCUCAUAACUCAUUAUAACAUAGGAAUUGAGCUCCUGCCGCUUUUAACUCGAACAUCACCUUUCUACCAUAGAAACUUUAACCUAUGAUUCUAUAAACGAUUCUUGAGUUGAUUCAGCUUAAGGCGGAUUUCUCGUUGUUUAACCUAUGUUCAAGGUUUCAAAUGCAUUUGUCACAGGAGGGCGUGAAGACUCAUUUCCACUCGAAACCCGUCCCUAGAAUUCAUUUAAGCCUAACAUCUCGAUGGUUCCUUGCCUUAGCGCAACUAAUUCAUUCAUUUCUUCACUAAUACGUUCUGACUAAUAGAAUAUGGUCUUACUAAUACGCAUCUCACUCAUAUUCAUUGGGCAGUCAAACUAAUCAUCAUCUAUUGUUCUUUCGAGCCCUAAAACUAAUCAUCAUCUAUUGUUCUUUCGAGCCCUAGUAUAUAUAUAUGUUAGUAAUAUUCUACCUUACUCCACUUUUCUUGUUCUUUCGAGCCUAAGUCACUAUCAUGGAACUUCCUUUCGGGUACCUCAAUGGGUGAAGCGCGAUUAGCGUGAUUCAACAUAAGCUUCGGUUCGGGGUAAGAAAUGACAACGAUGCCGAGAAGAGUCUGGCCUAUCUCCUAGGUAACUCUUCAGGGCUCAGAUCAAACAGGAUUCUCUUUCGUAUAGGCCCUUUUUUAAGGAGAAGGAAGGCUCGGGCCACACAGGCCGGAAAGUGCCUUGCAAAGGAAGGCAAAUCAAAGAGUCAAGAUCCUCGAGAAAGGCCAGUGUUCAGAGUGUUGUCAUGUCAUAAUCAUUCCAAUGCUCCUUUUCGCCACUCUUGCUUUUCCCUUCAUAAGGCGCGUUCAUCAGUCGCUUCACUAUUCCCCGACCCGAACUCUAUUAACUUGCGAGCACAUUGCAACUCACUCUACGAGAAGCUAGCCACCUUUCAUCCCGAUAAAGAAAAGAUUCUUUGAUGAAAGCUCCGAAUAGAAAUGCAAAAGAGAAAAGAUAAGCCUAUGAUCCCUAAUUGAGGAAGGGUGCUAUAAAAGCGGAUCAGAAGCAAGCUCAUCGGGGCUCGAGCAAGAAGAAAAGGGGCCUCCGCCUGGGAGAGACGAAAGUAGGCCAUAGUUAUCUGCCACAUAAGAGGUUAAAGCUAAAGGAGUUUCCGUAAGUGUAAUAUCUUUAUAUGAGAGUUGAUGCUCUCUCUUCCAAAGACAAGAGGUAUAAUUCUGUGCUUCCUUUCACUCUAUUUUAUUCAAGCCAGGCAAAGCUUCUUCUCUCGGAGACAACACUCAAACUGGGAGGGCAUUCUAUUUCUUCUGAUCCCACAUAGGAUCUGAAAACGUAUGAUGACCUCUAUUACUCGACUUCAACAUGAUAAACCCCCUCAACGGAGACCUUUGCUGGAACGCUAUCUUUCUAGGCUCAACAUAUUAUGAUCCUUAAACUUCUACUACACUUGAUGAUUCUUCACCGACAGAUGAAACUAGAACAGACAAUUCUCCACUUAGAGCUUCAAAGCCAGUACCCGAUCCAUCUUAUGCUUGAGACUAUUCCUCUAUCAGAGACGGAGAUGAACGUAAGCCAACUCACUCCUAUCUAGCAGACAACACUCGAACUGGGAUUCAACCUAGAAUUCACUCUACUUCCGGACAAUCUGUUUAGGACAGUUUCUCCAAUAUCCUUUACUACAAGCAAGCCCCGAACCAACAUCUCCUCUGGCUCACUUGCAUUCUUAUAUUGACUGGUCUUAUUCUGAUCUUAGUAGCUAUAGUAUUGGAAGCAAUGUAGCUAUAGCCUUCCACUCACUGGUUGCAUUCUGUUACUACUUAGGUGGAUUCUAACUUGCUUCAUUCCCCAACUCCCAAGCUGCAGCCUUGGUAGCUGUGGGUUCAUCCUAUCCCUUCACUCAUCUCAUUUCGGUCAGCACUGCUUUGAGUCUGAAGUAGGGGUGGAGUUAAGCCUGGUUGUUAGUGCUUGAAGCCUUACUGCCGCUAUAGGGGGUUCAGUCUGAUUGGAUCGAGUUGCAUUCUUUGACUGCUCAGGGACAUCCUGUAAUUCCGUAUUCCUAGCCUGGUCCGUAUUCCUAGCCUGGGGAGUUUCAUUCUGAGUGACACUAGCUACAUUCUAUCCCACUAGCGGGCGUAGUUCAUUCUGUGAUUUACUUGUUUGAUCUGUAAUCCUUAAUAAGAAGAGAGAGAAUUUAUAUCACUUUUCCCUUAGCUAUUUUACUGAAAGCCUUACGAUGGACUCUCGAAGGGAGGGUGGGCGAAGAAGGCUCAAUUGCUGGGCUCUCGAGACAGUUUCCCCGUACCAAAAAUGCCAAGGCCAUGACAAAAAGCAGCAGAAGAAUUCAAAGCAAGCGCGAAAGAGGACAUCUCCAAAAGGCCUCGCGUUGAGGCGGCUUCCUUCUAAAUGAAAUAAGUUCGAAUUAUAAGAAAGUAACGUUUCGGGCUAGCAUAUGCUUACGCCUUUUCGUUGUCGUUCUGUAAGCCAUAAUCUAAUCUUCCGGAAGUUAGGGGCAUGUGGCUGCGCAAAAGAGGAUUCUCAAACGACUAAGGUAAGUCAGAUCCCAUCCUAAAGAUUAGAUGAAGAUGUCACGAUCAAUCCCUAUAAAAUCCCUAAGGAAGCUUCCACUCCCGGGUAGUAGCUGCUAUAAGAGAAGCUCUUUGGUCUGGGUCUUCGGGGUCUACUAUUCCUUUCCUCUAAUGACUAAAUGUCAAACUUACCGAAAUGGGGCUCUUUAAAUAAAUAAAGGCUUUAUUAACAGGAAACUUUGGAGAGGGUAAGUCCAUUUCCCAUCCCACUACUAACCCAAGCUCCGGAGUUCUGGUGCUCAAGAAAGAAUAAGAAAAGAGAAUUGCUGUUAUCCCACGGCUGCCUGUGUUCAGUGGAGGAAGGAAGCCAUACAUGGAGGUGCCCUCAGGAAGUUGUCCAAAGAGAGGCCUUCGAUAAGCCUUUUGCUCAAGCUUCUACUUUCACUUGAUAAAGGAAAUAGGCAUUUAGGACAAAUUGACCAAGGAAAUAAGAAAAUGGCACAUUUCGAUGUUACUUAUGACCUGAGAAUAAGAUCUCCCUUAGGUUCUUUGACAGAGCGGAAAGAAAGUUGAAACACGCGCUUAUGCAAGGGAUGAAGAAUAGGUUCAAAAUGCCACAGAAUGUCUUAUAUGAAUAGGAAUCGGUUGAUCAAAGCUCAUUUUUGAUACAUAAACACUUGGCGCUCUGAAUAUCUUUCCUCAAUGACAGGAGGAGCUUUUCCCCUUUAAGACAACUGGAGUCUUAGGGGAUCAGACGGAUGAACCGAUCGGCAAAUAGUCUUCUCGCAAUAAGGGCUCUCCCUCCACUUUACACUUCAAUCUUGUCCUUUAUCUAUCAAACCCACGAGAAACCGGAGUGGGCAAUCUAUAAUGACAUAUGUAAACCCAUCUAUCCUAGCAAUCUAUAAUGACAUAUGUCACAACCUAUCUAUCCUAGAGACUUCGGUUUGAAACAUGAGCCUUUUUAGAUCCUUUCCAGUUAAAGGUCAGUCAGGUCUUUUAGAUUUCUUUCUAUUUCACUUAUUUGUACCUUUUCUUUCCAGAGGAAAACCCUCUUUCACUUCAGAAUUCUGCAUUUCAAAAAGAGGUCUCUCCCUCUCGGGAAAGGUGUGCCAGGAGCUUAUACAAGGUGUGUUCUGUUCUAUGUUACCUAUUACUAACACACUUUUACACUACUUGUCUUGUCUCUCAUCUCAUAGUCGGAAUAGUGAUGAUCGAUCUUCUUCGGUUCCUUUCCUUAGACUAUAUCUUUUGGUUUGAAUUCUUUCAUUACUCCCCAACUACUUAGAAAUGAGAUAUUGAUGUAUUUAAAAGAUACGCAUUUCAGCCAACAGUAGUGACACUCUUCUACUUCCGGGCUCAAGUUUUAAACAACACGAGUUAGAGGAGCUCCUAAUGAACUCAACGUUUACAAGCACUCUUUCUAUCCAAAGGUAAUGAAAGAAAUCUGCUCUAUCUUCUUUUCGAUCUUGUACUAAGGUGAACAAUAACCCAAUCCGCUCAAAAGUGGGGUUGCAAGUAAGAUCAAGAAAGUUUACUACGAAUGAGAGAACGAAAGCUAGUCGGAACGGAAGGAUAGUAUAGGAGAUGUGGCUUUUGUUGGGGAGCCUCUAUCUUAGACGCGGUAGUGCAUGAGAAGUGGAUCCAUCCAGUUCAGGCGGAUAGCCAGUUGUAUCGGGUAGAACCUCUCAAACCUACGAUAUUAUCAAACGGGAGAUCGGGAUCAUCAAAUAGUACGAGCAAGAUGUGGUCCAAAGAACGGAGCCUACCUCGUCGAAGCAGGACCCAUUGAGACUAAACGGAGACCAAACAAACAAAGAGAGACAUGGAAGAAUGCAAUGCAGCCUAGAUUAAGGGGAGGAACUAGCGCCCCCGAGUAUAGAGUGGCUAUUCGAUGAAAUGACUUUCGAGAAUUUCCAGCUUUAUACCGUCUGAUCUUAUCUUAAUUGAAUUGAGGAAGAUACAAAGUCAUUCAAGUUCUUCUAUUAAUAAGACAUUUCAUAACUCACUUGCUAAGUCAGAUACCAAGCCAAGGAGAGGUGCUCUCUCGCCUCAUUGUUUUCCGUGAGAUUUCAAAAGCAGUCUAGUCUUUUGGAUGCGAAAAGUUUCAUGUAUAGAUAGAUGAGUAGUUCGUCUUCAAGUUACUAAUAUGGACCCUGGGAGCCAAACACUUUAGCAAUGUGCAGAUUCUCCGAUACUAGUGAUUUUCAGAGAAUAGAGUAUGUGUUUCCUGCGGUUCACUCACGUAGGUCAGUUUCUUGUUCGAAUUGCAUGCGUAGGUCAGUUUCUUGUUCGAAUUGCAUGCAGGCGAUUUCUCCCAUUUUCUCUUUCCUCUUUCUCUUUACUGGUGGCCCAUAUUCUCUUUCCUCUUUCUCUUUACUGGAAAUAAGGCCUUUCCCUAUCACGACCGCCUUCCUUUCUUCGGAAUUCAUUCUUUUCCAAAGAGCUAGAGGGUGAUGAGUUACCUAGAUAUACAUGACUUUUGAUUUCUCAUUCCAUUCCAAUUCUCUCUGACAGAGCAGGAUAGCUGCCAUCAAGCUGCCCCUUUAGAGCGAGGGCCUUCCGAGACCACAAGAAGAAGGAUCAAUCGCCUUUUUGCGAGGAUCUAACUCUAUCUUUCUGGCUUAGCCUAACUACUUUGCUCGGGUCAAUUCACUCCUUCUUUAUCGCAAGCAAAUAGCCAAAGAGCUGAUGAAAGGUCUUAUCUUAUUCCUUCAUCUGCGGAGCAGUUAUUACAAAAAGACUCGCAUCUCACACAGGAAAAGCAAGCAAAGACCUCCCCUUGGUUUCCUCCUUCCUUGAUAAGAGUGAAAGCCCAAUCUUAAUAAUACUCUCGGACGUGGGAUCUUGCCUAACCCAAUUGGGUUGAGCGGGGUCAGUCUGACUUUUCCACUGGCUUUCUAUUUCACUCACUAAAUAAUAGGUCAGUCCUUACUUGAUAUAACUAGGGCAUAUACUUAAGGAAGCGAGCAACUUAUAUAAGCAUGCACUAUCGGAUCUGCCCCUUCCUUUCUCUUUUAACCGAUCAACUUGAACUUGAGCGGGAACAGGUAAGGGUGUAAUACAACUCUCCUCACUCUGACUUUUCUAUCUCGUGUGCAAGAUAUAGUGUAUGACCUGCAACUGGGUACACAAGGACUGUAUUUCGAGCAGGCUUUCAUGGCGUACUGACUUACCUUGAAAAGACGGGCCACUUUAAAGGAGACUAGUUCACUCACUGGUUAUAUCCAAAUCUCUUUCUUAACGGGGCAGCCUUCUCCACUUGUGACUUUAACAGCGGGGCAGCCUUCUCCACUUGUGACUUUAACAGCUCUCCUUUCCUUUAAAAACGAACUAGCAGCUAAGUAGACUCAUUUAUAACGCAGGAACUGCCUGCAGGAAACUGGCUUAUCACAUUCGGCUCGGGCUUACUAUCGGGCUUUCACGUUAACUGUCACUUGCCCUAACACAACUACAGGCUUACAACUUUGACUGGUAAAAGCGGACUAUAGCACAAGAACUGGCAACAAUAACAUAACUCCUCUCUAUGAGUCCCCACCCCACUCUCACCUAUCUAAAUAAAGAGCGCACUUCCAAUUCCAGACUAAGAUGUAGCUGCCUUAAUUGGAAUUCUACUUGGAUUUCUUUACAGUAAAGUCAGACCAUAAAGGCUAGAAAACUUCCUUGAAAGGGCAGGUCCCCCUUUCUUGCUACUUUAUAUGGAAUCUCGGGGCCAAAUCCCGAUACGAGAAAACUAGGCCUACUUUAAAUGGCACUGAUACAGGCGCUUCUUCUGCUAUAUUUCUCCUUAUAUCAAAAGAAAGGUUCCACCUUUAUUCUAGCUUAGCGUCCUAGGUUGGGCGAGGCAUAAGCCUUUAAGCAGCAGCUCCUCAAAUCCCCUUUCCAACUAGGGGGAGGGGGGACUCUUGCUCCUGUCACGGAUACUUGCUUUAUCACAGGAUUCAAUCUGUCCGGACUUUAUUUGAUGAUCCGCCCUUUCCAUGGGGCACAAGCCUUAGGGACAUAGGAACUUGCUGGCUAUGGAAUUGAUCCUCACUUUCUUUAUUAACGGGAACUGACUUUACUUGCUAGGGAGUGAUAGGGCAGAGGAUCCAGCAUCCCCACCAGAAUUAGAAGGGCGCUCCAAUUCGAAGCGUGCGCUACUAAGGAAGGCCCCUUCCCAUAUCGGGGAUAGUCAACAAUAGUGUGAGUUUUGGAAUGAAUCGAUAUCAUAGUCAAUUUCAGGUACUAUAACAGAUAGAGCUUUUUCUGCGGCAUAUUGAGAGCCAUAUAGUCUCCCGCCAAUCAGAAACCCCUGACAUUAUAAGGUAGGCCCAGCCCCGGGUUUAUAACAGCGAAUCGAAUCAAAGCGUUCUCCAAUAAGGAAAUCAUUAGAUGUAGCCUCAAACAUAUAUGACCUCAGUCUCUGGUCUCGAUUGUGGGUGGGCAAAUGGAUGCUACUAUGCUACUCUUUCUUCAAUUGCUUCAGCUUGAGAACUAAGACUAAGACUGGCAUAAAUCAAAUAGAAGACAAGACGCUUGGCUGUAAACUGACUCAUUCUAUAUACACGUAACGUACACGUAAGGAUAGACGUAUCCUAAAGCUCGUUAAUCAUACCCAACUUAUGGCUGGAACAGAGAAAGAGCUACGAUUUCAAUGACAACUUGCCCGUUAAUCAUACCCAACUUAUGGCUGGAACAGAGAAAGAGCCACUUUGGAUUUCAAUGACACUUGCCCGGACACUGAUGCUGCGCAAGAAUAUAAAGAAGAAUAGUUUGGUUUGCCUUUGCCCGCUACUGGUUUGCUCUAUCAUCCUGGAAAAAUCUCCUGACUUUAUUANNNNNNNNNNNNNNNNNNNNUAAGGUAAGUCAGCUUCCUUUUGAAGGUUCGGGAAUAGCCUAAUUCAAAGCGUUUUUCUUUGUCGAGAUUCGGUUUGUAUUAAGUGAGUGACAGAGAGUCGGAUGAAAGUUCUCCCUAGUCAGUAGCCCUUUAUUCCACUGUUGUAGGAAGUGUCCAGUCUUUAUAAGUAGGAUCAAAUCAAGACGAUGAGAUAAAGUGAUGCUACCUUAGAUUGAGAUCCCUAGUAGAGUCAACUAACUAACUUUCUCUCUAUCAUCGAUGGAUUAAGGAGCAUUGCAUUCGACGUAAGAUGUAUGGUUUGAAGUUCAGGGAUGGAAUGGAUUUCCUCGCUAGGAAGACGGCAGAAUAUGUUAUUGAAGGCUAAUACAAGUGUCGGGCCAAGCAACGACUAGACAA